rnacentral:lncRNA from 1 species
UCCAGAUCUACAGGUGGGCAGUAACCCUGUGCUGACCAGGUCUUGACUUCAGCCUGAGCUUCCCUCCCUCUGUAGGCUGUUUGUCUUCUUACUCCUGGAAUCAAGGCAUGUGAGGAGCGGCCCGGGACUGCAGCUAAGUCUUAUGACUUGCACCUGACUUCCUCAUACACCUGAAAAUAAGCCAGGACCAUCAUGAGAGCUGCGCAGGUGCACCAUAAUGCUGGCGGUGUAAACAAGUCCAUAUUUGGUGGAGGCAUGCCCCUGCCGCCCUGAUUGGCUGAAGCUGCAUGCCUGGUGAGGUGGCUUGGCCUGCCUUGAGUGGAUGGGGGCUGAGAGUAUAUAAGCAGACCUUCCUGGGUUCCCGGGGUCCCAGUAGCAGCAUUGAGGUGUUCCUGCAAUAAAGGCUGUUGG